rnacentral:rRNA from 1 species
ACAAACGACUCUCGGCAACGGAUAUCUCGGCUCUCGCAUCGAUGAAGAACGUAGCGAAAUGCGAUACUUGGUGUGAAUUGCAGAAUCCCGUGAGCCAUCGAGUCUUUGAACGCAAGUUGCGCCCGAAGCCAUUAGGCCGGGGGCACGUCUGCC